rnacentral:rRNA from 1 species
AGAGUUUGAUCCUGGCUCAGAGCGAACGCUGGCGGCAGGCUUAACACAUGCAAGUCGAACGCAUCCUUCGGGGUGAGUGGCAGACGGGUGAGUAACACGUGGGAACGUACCCUUCGAUCUGGGAUAACUUCGGGAAACUGGAGCUAAUACCGGAUACGCCCUUUGGGGGAAAGGUUUACUGUCGAAGGAUCGGCCCGCGUCUGAUUAGCUAGUUGGUGGGGUAACGGCCUACCAAGGCGACGAUCAGUAGCUGGUCUGAGAGGAUGAUCAGCCACACUGGGACUGAGACACGGCCCAGACUCCUACGGGAGGCAGCAGUGGGGAAUAUUGGACAAUGGGCGCAAGCCUGAUCCAGCCAUGCCGCGUGAGUGAUGAAGGCCUUAGGGUUGUAAAGCUCUUUUGUCCGGGACGAUAAUGACGUACCUAAGAA